ACAACUCCCAAACCCCUGUGAACAUACCAUAUCGUUGCCUCGGCGGUGCCCGUUUCGGCGGCCCGCCAGAGGACCCAAACCCUGUAUUAAAGUAUUCUUCUGAGUAAAUGAUUAAAUCAAUCAAAACUUUCAACAACGGAUCUCUUGGCUCUGGCAUCGAUGAAGAACGCAGCGAAAUGCGAUAAGUAAUGUGAAUUGCAGAAUUCAGUGAAUCAUCGAAUCUUUGAACGCACAUUGCGCCCGCCAGUAUUCUGGCGGGCAUGCCUGUCCGAGCGUCAUUUCAACCCUCAAGCCCCCGGGCUUGGUGUUGGAGACCGGCGAGCCCUCCGGGGCACGCCGCCUCCCAAAUUUAGUGGCGGUCUCGCUGUAGCUUCCUCUGCGUAGUAGCACACCUCGCACUGGGAAACAGCGUGGCCACGCCGUAAAACCCCCCACUUCUGAAAGGUUGACCUCGGAUCAGGUAGGAAUACCCGC
rnacentral:rRNA from 1 species